GACGAACGCUGGCGGUGUGCUUAACACAUGCAAGUCGAACGGAAAGGCCCUGCUUUUGUGGGGUGCUCGAGUGGCGAACGGGUGAGUAACACGUGAGUAACCUGCCCUUGACUUUGGGAUAACUUCAGGAAACUGGGGCUAAUACCGGAUAGGAGCUCCUGCUGCAUGGUGGGGGUUGGAAAGUUUCGGCGGUUGGGGAUGGACUCGCGGCUUAUCAGCUUGUUGGUGGGGUAGUGGCUUACCAAGGCUUUGACGGGUAGCCGGCCUGCGAGGGUGACCGGCCACAUUGGGACUGAGAUACGGCCCAGACUCCUACGGGAGGCAGCAGUGGGGAAUAUUGCACAAUGGGCGGAAGCCUGAUGCAGCAACGCCGCGUGCGGGAUGACGGCCUUCGGGUUGUAAACCGCUUUCGCCUGUGACGAAGCGUGAGUGACGGUAAUGGGUAAAGAAGCACCGGCUAACUACGUG
rnacentral:rRNA from 1 species